UGCCAAAGUGCUUGCUCAUUGGGUGUCAUAUGAUUGUUGGGUUCUUCUCUGCAUGCGUUAUUGUAGGGACUACCUUACAAUAGCACUGUAUAAAUAAAAGUGAAUUGAACUGAACUGAAUUAAUUUAUAUAUAAUUAAAAAGUAAUCAUUUACACACAAAAUGUUAAGUUCAACUAAGUUUGAUCAGUUUUGCUCUCAAAAAACUCCCUGACUGUGCAAAUGUGUAAAAGUGUUUUAAGACAACCUCUUCCUUGCUGUUGCCUGAUAUGCUCAGAAAAGGUCACAUGUGCAGGUAACUUUACAGAUUCUCAAAUGUAACCUGCGUCCAUGUGGUAGUGGAAAAUUGGGACAUUGGGGCUUCAUCUGUGUUUUUGUGCUAUUUCAAAUAAAAUGUUUUUUUUUCCCCUAAAUAACCAGAAUAGUUCAUCGGCCCUCUACUAAAAACAUUCACUUCCCAAUUACAGAUGCUAUACAGUAACCUAUAAAGGUUAUUAUGUGCUUCACAUGGUGCUGCUAUAUGUAGGACAUUCUUCUGCUGGGAUAACAGGACUGCAGCCUGCAGAGGGAGAAGAAAUGAUGAAGCAUUUUGAGAUGUGAGAGAAUGAACAAGAACAGAGGAGAAAAGACAAAGUUCUGAAAAUUUCUGAAAAUCUUCAGAACUCAUUGGACUAAAUGUGAACCAUAAGGAGAAGGCUUAACACAGUGAUUGGAGAUUGAGCCUGAAUUAUAACCCUGAUUUAACCCUUCUUACAUCCUGUUUUUCAGAUGUUCAUUCAGCAGCGUCUCUCACAGUGAGUCCUGACAGAGUGCAACACUUCCCCUCUGACUCUGUCUCACUGACCUGUGAGGGAAACUUCACUGAGUGGAGAGUGAGCAAGUUUAGUGAAAAAGGCUUUUUUUCACACUGCUGUGACUGCCAGAAACUGAGUGGAUCCUCUUAUAAGAUCCACAGCUUACAGGAGGGUGUUACUGUGUACUGGUGUGAGUCUGGAUCAGGAGAGCUCAGCAAUGCAGUCAACAUCACUGUACGAGGCUCUGGAUCUAAAAUCGGUUCAUUUAUCGUUCCAUUCAUCAUCGGACUUGUUAGUGGAAUUAUCCUCAUGCUGCUGCUGCUGCUGUGUUGCUGCAGAAAGAUAAAGGAUCUUUGUUGUAACAGUCUCACUCAGUCUCAGAGCACCAAUCAAAACUCUGCUGCACAACAAAAAGUCAACAAGAAUGAGAACAACGUUUACUCCUCUCUUCUUCCUGGUGAUUUUCCAGUUUAUGAAAUAAUCAGAUCCUCUGGAAACACUGGAAGUGGUACAGUAUAACCUCUGAUAAUAACAUAGCUAUAAGAGAUAUAAUGAUUAUAAACUGACUGAUCAGACCUGACGUCAUGUUAUUAUUUAAGCUGGACCAGCAGAUGAACAUAGAAAUGUCACAUCUACACUUGAACUUAAUGUUAUUGAUGAGGAGACUGACUUCAGAAAAUGGAGAAAUGACGACCCAGACGGGAGCUCUGACUACGAGGAUGAUGAUCAUGAGACAGGCUCAGUUACAGGUUCAGGAAGAGGACGUGGACAUUAACAAAGAAACUUGUGGACAAGAACAUAAAAUAAAUAACGGAACUUUCACCAUGUU